rnacentral:rRNA from 1 species
CGUGUAGGCGGCCAGGUAGGUCCGAUGUGAAAUCUGGAGGCUCAACCUCCAGCGGUCAUUGGAAACCAUCUGGCUAGAGUCCGGAAGAGGAGAGUGGAAUUCCUGGUGUAGCGGUGAAAUGCGCAGAUAUCAGGAAGAACACCAAUGGCGAAGGCAGCUCUCUGGGACGGUACUGACGCUGAGACGCGAAAGCGUGGGGAGCGAACA